rnacentral:rRNA from 1 species
CCCUUAGAUGUUCUGGGCCGCACGCGCGCUACACUGAUUCAUGCAACGAGUUUUGUCCUUGGCUGAUAGGCCUGGGUAAUCUUUGAACGUGAAUCGUGAUGGGGAUAGAUGAUUGCAAUUAUUCAUCUUCAACGAGGAAUUCCUAGUAAACGCAAGUCAUCAGCUUGCAUUGAUUACGUCCCUGCCCUUUGUACACACCGCCCGUCGCACCUACCGAUUGAAUGGUCCGGUGAAAUCUUCGGAUCUGAGAGAUGUCUGAUUAAUUUCGGACGCCUUUUGGAAAAGUUGUUUAAACCUUACCAUUUAGAGGAAGGUGAAGUCGUAACA